rnacentral:rRNA from 1 species
CGCCUGGGGAGUACGGCCGCAAGGUUAAAACUCAAAUGAAUUGACGGGGGCCCGCACAAGCGGUGGAGCAUGUGGUUUAAUUCGACGCAACGCGAAGAACCUUACCUGGCCUUGACAUGCAGAGAACUUUCCAGAGAUGGAUUGGUGCCUUCGGGAACUCUGACACAGGUGCUGCAUGGCCGUCGUCAGCUCGUGUCGUGAGAUGUUGGGUUAAGUCCCGUAACGAGCGCAACCCCUAUCCCUAGUUGCUAGCAGUUCGGCUGAGAACUCUAGGGAGACUGCCGGUGACAAACCGGAGGAAGGUGGGGAUGACGUCAGGUCAUCAUGGCCCUUACGGCCAGGGCUACACACGUGCUACAAUGGUGCGCACAGAGGGCUGCAAACCCGCGAGGGGGAGCCAAAUCUCACAAAACGCAUCGUAGUCCGGAUCGCAGUCUGCAACUCGACUGCGUGAAGUCGGAAUCGCUAGUAAUCGUGAAUCAGAAUGUCACGGUGAAUACGUUCCCGGGCCUUGUACACACCGCCCGUCACACCAUGGGAGUGGAUUGCACCAGAAGUGGUUAGUCUAACCUUCGGGAGGACGAUCACCACGGUG